ACAAAAAGUAAGUAAGGGCACAUGGCGGAUGCCUUGGCUCUCGGAGGCGAUGAAGGACGUGAUAAGCUGCGAUAAGCUGCGGGUAGGUGCAAAUGACCUUUGAUCCGCGGAUUUCCGAAUGGGACAACCCGGUACUUUGAAGAGGUACCAUUCCACAAUGUGGAAGGCUAACGCAGGGAACUGAAACAUCUUAGUACCUGCAGGAAAAGAAAAUAAACAAUGAUUCCCCCAGUAGUGGCGAGCGAACG
rnacentral:rRNA from 1 species